rnacentral:rRNA from 1 species
UACAGAGGGCGCGAGCGUUGUCCGGAAUCACUGGGCGUAAAGGGCGCGUAGGUGGCGGCAUAAGGCCGCGGUGAAAGUCUGGGGCUCAACCCCAGAUCGGCCGCGGCGACUGUGUCGCUCGAGCACGGUAGAGGCAGAUGGAAUUCCGGGUGUAGCGGUGGAAUGCGUAGAGAUCCGGAAGAACACCAGUGGCGAAGGCGGCUCACUGGCCCGAUACUGACGCUGAGGCACGAAAGCGUGGGGAGCAAACAGGG